GGUUUUUAAGGCAUUUAUUGUAAUAAGGCAGAGAGGGAGAAAGUAGGUAAGUAGAGGCUGGCCAUGGCCACGUGGAAAGAGGAAGGAAGGAAAUGUGGAAAGAGAGGGAGCAAGAGGGCAAGAGAAAAUCAAGCAGGAAGAAGGAGGAAAAGAGGGAGGGUGACAAACAGCCCCUUUUAUAGUGGGCUAGGCCUACCUGGCUGUUACCAGGUUACCAUGGGGAAGAACAUACCUGGCUGUUGCCAGGUAACUGUGGAGUCAUACAGGAUAUCAGGAGCUUGGGGCAUUGCCCUAGUGACUAAUGGCCACAGAAUUUUGGAGCUGAAGCCUCAUGUUAGUGUUGGAGUUUGCCGAAAGACCCUCACUCACAAGGACCUCAGAGACCAAGAUCCCUGUAAACUGCAUGAGGUUUAUUGAUCCAACGUGUGUGUUGGGGCCCGUCAGCACGCAGGCAAAUUGAUGGAACUAGAAAAUACCAUCCUGAUUGAGGUGACCCAGACACAAAAGGAUAUAUAUGGUAACACUGGGAUGAGAAAUGGAGCAGAGACUGAAGGAAAGGCCAUCCAGAAACUGUCCCACCUUCAGAUCCAUCCCAUUUGCAGACAACAAACCCUGACACUAUUGCUCAUGCUAAGAAGUAUUUGAAGACAGAGGCCUGGUAUGGCUGUUCUCUAAGGAGCUCUGCCAGUACCUGAUUAAGACAGAUGCAGAUACACACAGCCAACCAUUGGACUGAGCCUGGAGACUUCAAUGGAAGAGUUAAGAGAAGGACUGAAGGAGCUGAAGGGGAUUGCAACUCCAUAGGAAGAACAACACUAUCAACUAACUGGACCCCUCAGAGUUCCCAGGAACUCAAUUACCAACCAAGUGGUAUACAUGGAUGGCUCCAUGGCUCCCACUACAUUUGUAGUAGAGAAUUACCUUAUCUGGCAUCAGUGGUAGAGGAGGCCCUUGACCCUGUGGAGGCUUGUUGCCCCAAUGAGGAAGGAUGCUAAAGGGAUGAGGCAUGAGUGGGUUGGUGUGUAUAAGAGCACCCAUUUAGAGGCAAUGGAGAGUGGGAGAGGGUAUGUGGUUGCAGAGGGAAACUGGGAAAGGGACAACAUUUAAAAUAUAAAUAAAAUAAAAUAAAUUA
rnacentral:lncRNA from 1 species